UACGGAGGGAGCUAGCGUUAUUCGGAAUUACUGGGCGUAAAGCGCACGUAGGCGGCUUUGUAAGUAAGAGGUGAAAGCCCAGAGCUCAACUCUGGAAUUGCCUUUUAGACUGCAUCGCUUGAAUCAUGGAGAGGUCAGUGGAAUUCCGAGUGUAGAGGUGAAAUUCGUAGAUAUUCGGAAGAACACCAGUGGCGAAGGCGGCUGACUGGACAUGUAUUGACGCUGAGGUGCGAAAGCGUGGGGAGCAA
rnacentral:rRNA from 1 species